GACUGAUCAAAUAUUCAACAUUGACAAAUGAAGCGAGUAAUACUAAAGUAAAUUCAUGCAUCAAAAUUCAUAUUGAGUACGGCUUCUGUUUUAUUCUCAUGAAAUUUUCAAUGAUACUUAAUCUUUCUGUAAUUUUUGAAGUACAUUUCUUGUUUUGAGACCCAAUGGAAGAACUUGUAGAUUUGUGCGCAGCAGCCACCUCAGGUUAAUUUCCGGCUAGCUUUUUGAUGACAACUAAAGAAAUAGAGACUUGCUUACUAAACUCUAUUUUCAUAGGGGUCAAAGGAGAUAUCGUGUUUGAUUUUCCAGCAAACACACCCUCGCAUGUCUCCGCCGAGUCUAUGGCAGCUCCAACCCAUGUACUGGCAUCACCAUAACGAUUACAAUCCAAAGCUGGCAGCGACUCCUUAAUCUUUUCAAUUGCAGUCAGGUAGAACGCAGAACAACUUUUGAGUUUUUUCAGAACGCAUUGAUCUGAAGUUGUUUUUAGCAACACACUGAUGUGGUUGUGGAUUCUGGUGCCAUCUUGCAAUGCUUUCUUUACUGCAAGCUUGGCUAUGCCUUGGAGACGAAGUCCUUUGUUUUCCAGGAAGAAUACGACUGUAGAUUUGCACAGCUCCUUGUCUAAGGUUUGGCUACAACCUUCAGUUAUCAAGCGUUCCUUCUGGACUAACAGAUUGAUGUGUUUUAAACCACUCAAGCAUAGCAGGUCAAACUUAGCUUUCAUGAAUGUAAAUGGGGAAUUUCGUUGUAAUAGUUCCUCGAAUCUAUCUUCGCAUUUCGUUGAGUUCGCCAAGGCGUCCGUGAUACAUGUCUUGGCAUCAUCGUAAUUUUUAGCAUCCAAAGCAGCCAGCGAUUUGUUAAUAAGGCCAACUGCAUCUUUGUAGUUGGUAGAACAACCUGUUAGGCUUCUCGUAGUGUACAUGUCCGAAGUUUUGAGUAGCAACGAGUUGACGCGGUGGUAUAUUGCAUUCCCAUUUGAUAUUGCUUUCGUUAAUGCAAGCUUGGCUAGGCCUUUGAAAUCAGCGUUUGGAAUUGCAUUCUUUCCUGCAAGUUCGGCUAUGAUUUUGAAAUCAGCUUCUACUUUGAUUUGAUUCGUGGAAUUUUUGUGGGCUUUAGCAAUGAGAUGAUUGGAAGAGAGGACAAGAACUAGGACAAGGCAAAAUGGAAUGAGCCCAUGUAAAGAACCCAUGCUGUUCAAUCGGUUCAAGCGGCCGGGAUUGUGCAGGAAUCAGUGUGUUGAAGGAAGGAAUGGUUGAUUGGAAAAACAAGGACAAAUUAGAAGAUUAUAUAGCCUUCAUUUUUUACAGCAGUUUUCUGUUGUGUUCCUAUUUUUACGUAGGAGAAAACUCAGAAGGUGAACUCAAGCUAAUUGUAACUACCUUCUUUACAUAACAGCUAGGUUUUUUGUUUUUUAGGUCAUUUUGUUGGCAAUCUGAAGCAUGACAGGUUUUUGAACUAUUUGUGGUUUUUAGCCUAACAGCUUCAACCCAAAUGGCAGCCAGGUGCAUGUUCUGUCCAAUGCUGGCAAAGAAGCAUAGUUCUAGGAUCAAGAAAGACAGCCUUU
rnacentral:lncRNA from 1 species